rnacentral:rRNA from 1 species
UACGUAGGGAGCAAGCGUUGUCCGGAAUCAUUGGGCGUAAAGCGCGCGUAGGCGGCCUCAUAAGUCCGUUGUGAAAGUCCAGGGCUCAACCCUGGGAUGCCGGUGGAUACUGUCGGACUAGAGUACGGAAGAGGCGAGUGGAAUUCCCGGUGUAGCGGUGAAAUGCGCAGAUAUCGGGAGGAACACCAAUUGCGAAGGCAGCUCGCUGGGACGUCACUGACGCUGAGACGCGAAAGCGUGGGGAGCAAACAGG